rnacentral:tRNA from 1 species
GCUACUGUAGCUCAGCUGGUAGAGCAGCACAUUCGUAACGUGCAGGUCGCUGGUUCGAGUCCAGUCAGUAGCU